UGGUCCGUCUAUGGUAGCAUGCAGUUGUUCUUUGCGUAUUGCUUUAUGUAAGGGGUGAAUGGGGAAUUACCCCACAUUCUAAAAUGACUAUAAUUGAUUAAUUUUACCUAUUUUUGUUGCAUAUAAGUAGUCUAAAACGUGACCAACCCAUUCUCCAUUCCAUUUACUCAAAUUGAACCUUCCCUUCAAAACAAAUUAUUUCUAGAAACCUCCAUUGUUUUUUGAUCUAAAGAACAGCUUGUAGAUUGGAUUCUCAUAUUUUAUUCAUAAAUUUUUAAGUUUUCUAAUGAAUAUAAAGGGAAAUGUAAUAUUGAUGUGCCAUAAAGAAUGGAUAGGUUUCUAAGGCUUGAAUAUGAAGUAUUGGUUAUGGAUGCAUAAAGGAUGUUUUAAACUGUGAGGAGCUUGAUAGAUAAUACCCAAGAUCAUUCCAAGGAAUCCUUAAGUCCAAGGAUGCCGUGGAUGCUUUAAGGAUGUAUUUAGAUGAUGACGAGCUUGAUAUGUUAUUCCCAAGCUCAAGGAAUGGAGUCCAUAAGUCCAAGGAUAUGCAAAGUCUUACUUUACUGUAAAAUCAUGUAAUAGUUUACUAUGUUUUAUGCUGUAAGAACCAUGUCCCUAAGUAUUCUAAUAAUGUUGAGUCUAAUUUGACAAAA